UACGGGAGGCAGCAGUGAGGAAUAUUGGUCAAUGGACGCAAGUCUGAACCAGCCAAGUAGCGUGCAGGAUGACGGCCCUAUGGGUUGUAAACUGCUUUUAUAUGGGGAUAAAGUGGGGAACGUGUUCCCUUUUGCAGGUACCAUAUGAAUAAGGACCGGCUAAUUCCGUGCCAGCAGCCGCGGUAAUACGGAAGGUUCGGGCGUUAUCCGGAUUUAUUGGGUUUAAAGGGAGCGUAGGCCGUUUGGUAAGCGUGUUGUGAAAUGUAGGAGCUCAACUUCUAGAUUGCAGCGCGAACUGUCAGACUUGAGUGCGCACAACGUAGGCGGAAUUCAUGGUGUAGCGGUGAAAUGCUUAGAUAUCAUGAAGAACUCCGAUUGCGAAGGCAGCUUACGGGAGCGCAACUGACGCUGAAGCUCGAAGGUGCGGGUAUCGAACAGGAUUAGAUACCCUGGUAGUCCGCACAGUAAACGAUGGAUGCCCGCUGUUAGCACCUAGUGUUAGCGGCUAAGCGAAAGCAUUAAGCAUCCCACCUGGG
rnacentral:rRNA from 1 species